CGCAGCUGGACCCUUCUCCAUAUAUUGGGACGCUUGCAGCAUUUUUGAAAACAGAGAAGCUAAAAGAAGAAAUGGCAUAGAAAAGCACACCGUGGUCGAUUGACGAGGUUACGACGUUCCUCCAGCUGAUAGCAGAUGACAAAAUCCAGCGGGAGCUCGACGGCACAACUCGCAACCUCAAAGUUGUUCAGGAGGUCUCUGCACUGUUGUCCGGACGCGGAUACGCAAGGACUUUCCAGCAGUGUAGGGACAAACUGAAAAAGCUUAAGAGUGAGUAUAGAGCCGUCAAGGACCACAACGGCCGGAGUGGUUCAGAUAGGAGAAGCUGGAAGUGGUUCGACCUGAUGGACGCUAUUUAUGGCCAUAGACCGGCCAACGUUGGGAGAGAGGGAGGCCUGGACUCUGCAACCGCGUUGCUGGAGUCCCUGCAUGAUGAUGCCAUAGAUGAAACUAGUGAGGAGGAAUAGUCCCGAACAACGGGUGAUCCGUCCUCGUCAUCGAAUCCAGAAGGGACCCCAACUCGACCACAGACACCAGCCGAACAACCGACACCAACUCAACCACCAACGCCGAGUGCCAUCACGACACCGCAGCGUGUGGUUCUAGGCAAGAGGAAACGAGGAGGAGACGAGCACCUAGCACAGGAGGAACGGCACCAUGAACGGAACCUGGCCCAGGUGGAUCGGCACUGGCAGCUGACCAUGGAGGCUACUGCCCGGGCAAGGCAGGAGGAAAUGGCCUUGAGAAGGGAGGAGAACGCUCAAACUCUGGCAUUUAACUUAGCCUUCCUGCGCACUCUUGGCCAGGUUGUGGACAGCCUACGUGGCCCGUCUCUUCAGGAAGACGAACCACCUCUGUAAUUGCCACAUUAGUACAGUACUUUCUUGUUUAUGUCUUAUCUUUCUUUUUUGUUUUUAUAAUGCCAUGCCUUUUUAUGCUGCAGCAACACAUA